UGGGGAAUUUUGCGCAAUGCUCGUAAGAGUGACGCAGCGACGCCGCGUGAAUGACGAAGGCCUUCGGGUCGUAAAGUUCUUUCGACAGGGAAGAAAAUGCCUAUAAGUAACUGUGUAUGUAUUGACGGUACCUGUAUAAGCAGCCCCGGCUAACUCCGUGCCAGCAGCCGCGGUAAUACGGAGGGGGCGAGCGUUGUUCGGAGUGACUGGGCGUAAAGAGCACGUAGGCGGUGUUGUAAGUCAUUAGUCAAAGACUAGAGCUCAACUUUAGUAAGGCUAGUGAUACUAUAAUACUAGAGUAUCAGAGAGGAUUGCAGAAUUCCUGGUGUAGCGGUGAAAUGCGUAGAUAUCAGGAGGAAUACCGUUAGCGAAGGCGGCAAUCUGGCUGGAAACUGACGCUGAGGUGCGAAAGCGUGGGUAGCAAACA
rnacentral:rRNA from 1 species